CAAUCCCUACCCGAGUGGGUGGGGUCAAUGCCUGAAAGGGGAAGAGCUUCCUGCGGAGGCCCCGGAGUCCCAGUGAGACCACGCCUCCUCAUGAGGACAGCCAAUCAGGAUCUGAGGCGCUGCUUUCUCCAUUAUGAAGAACUAGCCUUUGACGGGUCUGGGUCCUGGGAGUCCCAGUGAAGCAAGAGGAGUUGGCGUGGGUCAAGGUCUGUUCCCAAGAAAUUCAGCGUCUGCCUUUACCUGAGCGGAAAGAUCAUGGUCCCCAAACCUAAGCCCCCACCAGCCGAAAAUGCUAAACCACAGUCGCCGGAAGAACUGGCAUUUUAUGCUCCGAACCACCUAUGUUUGGUCGUUUUGGGUAUAUUGCUUUGCCUUCCCUUGGGACUUCUAGCUUUCAAGGAGAGAAAAAAGAUCAUACUGGCUAAUCGCAACAGCGAAUGGGAACAGGCUUACAAAAGCUCACGCAAAACUGGUUGGCUAUCUGUGUUCUCCAUACUCGGUGGUUUGGCCAUCAUUUAUAUACUUUUUCUAUAUAUAUGAGGACCAGGAGCAGCAUCCCCCGACGUCUACUCCCCAACAGACCAACCCACAAAGAGACUAAACAGCUAUCAGGCAAGAAAAUCAAUAGCCGAGACAUCCCCUAGCCAAGAAACCCACCAGCCAAGGAACUCAACAUCCAAGCAUCCCAGCAGCCCGACAACAUCUAGGUCACCUGUCUGUACUACUUAAGCAGACCCGGCUUCCAGAGCUGUCUUCAUCCACCUUAGGGCUCCACACUUCAUGUCCUAGAUCUUCUUCCUUGACUCUGGGAUAUGCUUACAGAAAAAUUUUUUAUUUAAACCAAUAAAAUUAAAGGGAAUGUUCUACCUU